UGGCUCAGAAUGAACGCUGGCGGCGUGCUUAACACAUGCAAGUCGAACGAGAAAGGUCCUUCGGGACCGAGUAUAGUGGCGCACGGGUGAGUAACGCGUAGGCAACCUACCCCUGGAUUCGGGAUAACAGAGCGAAAGUUCUGCUAAUACCGGAUACGACCGAGAGACGGGAGUUUUUCGGUGAAAGUCGGCCUCUCGCAGAAGCUGAUGUUCGGGGAUGGGCCUGCGUCCUAUCAGCUAGUUGGUAAGGUAACGGCUUACCAAGGCAACGACGGGUAGCUGGUCUGAGAGGAUGAUCAGCCACACUGGCACUGAAACACGGGCCAGACUCCUACGGGAGGCAGCAGUGAGGAAUUUUGCGCAAUGGGAGCAAUCCUGACGCAGCAACGCCGCGUGGGUGAUGAAGGCCUUCGGGUCGUAAAGCCCUGUCAGGUGGGAAGAACCACUCGGGGAACAAUAAGCCUCGAGUCUGACGGUACCACCAGAGGAAGCACCGGCUAACUCCGUGCCAGCAGCCGCGGUAA
rnacentral:rRNA from 1 species